CACGAGCGGCGAACGGGUGAGUAACACGUGAGCAACCUGCCCCUGACUCCGGGAUAAGCGGUGGAAACGCCGUCUAAUACCGGAUACGACCCUCCGCCUCAUGGUGGUGGGUGGAAAGUUUUUCGGUCGGGGAUGGGCUCGCGGCCUAUCAGCUUGUUGGUGGGGUAACGGCCUACCAAGGCGAUUACGGGUAGCCGGCCUGAGAGGGCGACCGGCCACACUGGGACUGAGACACGGCCCAGACUCCUGCGGGAGGCAGCAGUGGGGAAUAUUGCGCAAUGGGCGAAAGCCUGACGCAGCGACGCCGCGUGGGGGAUGACGGCCUUCGGGUUGUAAACCUCUUUUACCACUCACGCAGGCUCCACGUUUUCGUGGGGUUGACGGUAGGUGGGGAAUAAGGACCGGCUAACUACGUGCCAGCAGCCGCGGUAAUACGUAGGGUCCGAGCGUUGUCCGGAAUUAUUGGGCGUAAAGAGCUCGUAGGCGGCGUGUCGCGUCUGCUGUGAAAGACCGGGGCUUAACCCCGGUUCUGCAGUGGAUACGGGCAUGCUAGAGGUAGGUAGGGGAGACUGGAAUUCCUGGUGUAGCGGUGAAAUGCGCAGAUAUCAGGAGGAACACCGGUGGCGAAGGCGGGUCUCUGGGCCUUACCUGACGCUGAGGAGCGAAAGCAUGGGGAGCGAACAGGAUUAGAUACCCUGGUAGUCCAUGCCGU
rnacentral:rRNA from 1 species